GGGCAUGUUGUGUAGUGGUUAGAGCUUGGGACUAUCACUCGGGAGACCAGGGUUCAAAUCCUGGCUCAGCCA